rnacentral:rRNA from 1 species
CACGUAGGGCGCGAGCGUUGUCCGGAAUUAUUGGGCGUAAAGAGCUCGUAGGCGGUUUGUCGCGUCUGCUGUGAAAACUGGAGGCUCAACCUCCAGCCUGCAGUGGGUACGGGCAGACUAGAGUGCGGUAGGGGAGAUUGGAAUUCCUGGUGUAGCGGUGGAAUGCGCAGAUAUCAGGAGGAACACCGAUGGCGAAGGCAGAUCUCUGGGCCGUAACUGACGCUGAGGAGCGAAAGCAUGGGGAGCGAACAGG